rnacentral:lncRNA from 1 species
UAUAACUUUUUAUAAUGGAGGGAGAAAAUUUGCAAAGUAGUAUAAAUAAGUGAUUACUGUUGGAUUUUUUAUUUUUAUUUUAAUAAAGUUUAAACAUUUAAAAUCAUGAGCUAAUGCCUAAAGGCAAAGGGGAUGGUUGCUCCCUCCAACAAAAAUGGUACGUUUUGCAUACCUAUCACACAAACCUAAAAUUAAGGCUGUUUGGUUUAGUUUUUCAAAACAUAUGACUUUUUGGAAAAGUUAAUAAAUCACAAUGAAGUGACUUAUUGACUUUUCCUCUCACAUAACAAUUUCAUGCCAGAACACCUUUUAACUUUUUAAAAAGUCAAUAAACUAAUAAAUCACUAAAAUAAGCAAUCCCAAACACCCUGUAAGAGAUUGCUCCUCUUAACAAUAGUCUAGAAGCCACACAUGGAAAUUACCUUGUGACACUGCAUUCUCAAAUGCAUAUAAAACUUUGAAAUGAACUUAUUGUGAAAGGUGAAGCGCUAAUCCAAAGGGGAAAGGCUACUACAAAAGAUCGCUCAUUCGCUUCUAAUCAAAGCUACUAUUUCAAAAGUUAUGGUUCUUAACUAGUUUUAAAACUAGUCAAAAUAGCUCGUAACAUGGAGUUACUAAAAAAGAUCAAGAUUAUAAACGAUACCAGUCAUUUGAUUAUGUAAACAUGACAUGGUCCCAUUUUACGCUGGGGUGUCAAUCGCAACAACUCAUGUGACAAACUACAAGAAAGAACUUAACAACAAUACCCAUACGAGAUAGUAAGCUUGUCAGGCACAAAACUAAAACAAUAAAAAAGAAAAGAAAUUUAACAAUACACAUUCAGGGUAGUAAACUUGUCAGGCAUGAAACUAACAUUGUAUAAAAUACAUGCUCAUCAACAUGUGAUGUCAUGUUGUGAGGGAGAAAAUAAAACCAUAUAAUACAAAAACAAUCAAUAAAAUUAAAACACACCAAAAAUAAGAUUAAUAUCUCCAAAUCUUAAAUGAAAAUCCAAAAUCAUCUAAAAAUAUUCUACCAACUAAAAUCAAGUCUAAGGUAUAUCUAAAAUGAGUAAAACCCAGAACUUAUAGUUUAGAAACCAAAAACGUUAAAAAACGAGAACAAAUCACUCGUUCAAUCUCCAAACAUCCUGGAAGCGAAGAAAACGCAAAUUUUAUCCUUAUCUCCAGCCACAAUGCCCCAUUCAAAAAUCUUGAUUCAAUCAAACCAACUAAAAGGCAUCAGAUCUAUACAAACAACCAACCUUUAUCAUUUACUGCAAGCUGCAAAAUCUGGGCUUACUCAAAUAUCUUGAUAAUUAAGUUGUUGAAGAUUUCGGGUUUGUGAACUCAUCGCCAAAGGUCACUUCCCCAUUGUCUGGCUUUAUAGAAGCACUCAACUCUUUAUCUGUAGUUCUCUCUUCGGUGGUUGAUGAUCCAUCCAGUGAAAGCUUUUCUAACGAAGGUUGUAUGAUAGAGCCAUCGGUUGUUGCGUGUGGUGACUGAGAUCCGGAAUCGAGUGUAAUGUUGACAGAAGGUUCUGGUCAAUGCGUACAAUAUUUUUUACAAGCAUUUUGCCACCCCUACAUAAAUGAUUCCGACAUUGUAUAGAUGAUACCUGAACUUCAACAAUAGUUGAGUCUCUUAUGGAGCUCAAAACCAUUUGCAAAUCACUUGUCAAACUUUUGACCUAGAAAUCAUGCAGAAAUAAAAAAACAUUAAUAUGAAAUACUAGUAGCCAGCUUAAGCAAAGCUAAAGGCACUUCAAUGAGCUAACUUGGUAAUACGUUGUAGAAAAUUAACCAAAUUAACAAAAAGGGUAAGCAGUUGAAUGUUGCCUGAAGUAUUGUUUUUAUGCUUUCAUCCCCUAAAUCACUUUAUUCAAAAACUAUAAAUUUUGAACCUGCUAAUAAUAGUUAUGGUAAUCAUAAUAUCAUAUUCAAAGCAAUGAUUAUUUAUAAAUU